GCCGCCUCCAGCGCUAACGGCGGCUCCGCUUGCCCGCUCCCCCGGGCAGGCUGGCCGCAGGUGCCCGCUCCGCGCCGUUCCGCUCCCCCUUUGCCAGGUCAGCACUAAGAGAAGCUUUAUAAGGGACCCCAAGAGAAGACUAGAGACAGGGCAGGCUGCAAGGUGCAGAAGAGCAGUUUGCUCCCUUUUUUGUGGUGUUCUAGCAGCAUCCCAGCCAAGACCAUGGUUCAGUGUUAAGCAUCACCUCUGCAGCAACCAUAAACAAAAUGGUCCCAUUAUCACUUGCUGCUGGGGGGAUGGGGCUAUUUGUAGCUCCUCUGCAGGUUGAGGAGGUCUCUGCUGUUCAGUUACCAGCUGGAGUCUUCUCAGUGGGAAUCAGUGGAAGAGGAGUUUUUUCUGUCUGUAGAGGCUGGGCUUGCCUGCUCAUGACUUGUACAGCGAAGCUUGUUUGCUGGGCAAAUAUUAUCCUUGUGUGUUGACAAGAAGAGGCAUUUGGGGCAGGGUUUCCAAGAAGUCCUCAGGUCUAACUAGUGGGAGCUGACACAGCUGAGGGCAACUUCAUACUCCCUGGAGCUGCCAUUGAGCAACAAAUCCCCAUCAGCAUCUCCAACUGCAGUUCUUCUGUUUGCCCCUGCCCUGGGGGAAAAGACUUUGAGAAGAUGGAGAACCAGAGGGGCGUGCUCUUGGGAUACGUCACCUGGGAAGGAGAAGAGGAAGGGGAUGAGGAGGAUGGGGUGGCUCCUGGUGCUUCUCCUUCCAGCCAAAUGAGCGAAUUGGAAGAUGUGCAGGUGGAGAUGCUUGAGAAGGCAAGGGAGCUCUUCCAGCUGUGUGACAAGGAUGAGAAGGGCUUUAUCACCAAGGUGGACAUGCAGCGGCUCCAGAGUGAACUCCCCCUAACCCUUGAACAGCUGGAGACUGUUUUUGACAGCUUGGAACAGAACAAUAAUGGAUACCUGACACCUGUGGAGUUCAGCAUGGGACUGGGAAAAUUAAUAGGCAUUGAAUUGUGUCAAGGGGCUGGGAGAAUGGAUCACUCCAGACACGAGGAGACCUUUGAGUCAGGCUGGUCAGAUGACUUGGACCCAGCAGAUGAUGAUGAAGAAAAACGAUUCUGUUCCAUGAUGGAGCAGCUCGGAGCAGCCCACAUGUUUGAAGAUCCAUGUGAGAUUCGGGAGCUCUGGGGUCGGCUACGAAAGGAGCGUCCAGAGCUCUUAUCCAAUUUUGAAGAGUUUCUGUUGCGUGUUUCAUCAUACAUAAGGGAGAUGAAUCAUGAGAAGGAGUCUAUGGAACAGGCAUUGAAGCGGAAGGAGACAGACCAUGACCGAGAAGUCAGAUGCCUGUAUGAAGAAAUGGAGCAACAGAUCAAAGCAGAAAGGGAGAAGCUGAUCUGCCAGGAAGCACUGAGGCAUGACAGGAGUAACCUGCUUCAGAAGGAACUGUGCAGCAAAGAGCAGGAGCUGGAGAAAAUCCUCUACCGCCAGAAGAAGCUGGAACAUCAGCUACAGUCUUUGAACUCAGAGCAGCUGGAGACCCGUGUGCAGAACGAAAGGCUCCGACACCUGAAUGAAAACCUGCUGGAAGAGCUGGAGAAAAGCAAAUGGGAGCUGGAGGCAGUGAAGGGGCAAUUACAGAAGCUCCAGAAAGAGGCCCAGCUUGAGCAAGAGCAGAAGGACAGGGAUGUGUUUAGAGUCUCCAAGAACAUGCAGAAAGAGAAACAAAGUCUCCUUCGGCAGCUGGAGCUCCUCAGAGAAAUGAACAAGAAACUUCGAGAUGAGCGAGACGCUUUUGAAGCCAAGAAGCCGGCACCUGAGAGCAAAAAGCCCCUGUUGAAGAAAGGGUCAGUGCUAGGCAGUUACCUGCUGGACAACAAGCCAGUCAAACGACAACUGGCCUCUGCGGACCUUCCCUUCACCUUCCCGGUGGAUGUGGCAGUGGAGGAACCCAACAGAAAGAACUGUAAAUACUUCGCAGGCAACGGGAUGUGGCUGAAGGCAGGAGAACGUGGCAGCACAAACUUCAGAGUGAAGAGCAGAGACAAGGAGAGACGGUUGUUGGCAGUAGAUGCUGAGUGGUUGAAGAUGACUUUGAAGGGUGAUGCUGACUGUAGAAAAAAUGCAGAUGGAUUAGAUGAUGCUCCAUUGCCUCCUAGAGGACAGCCUGUUGGCACUGAAACCAGGCUCCAGGCACUGGAACCAGCCAGCUGUUCCCCAGACCGCAUCUUUAAAGUGGUGUUUGUAGGGAACUCCGGUGUUGGGAAGAGUUCCUUUAUCCACCGCUUCUGCUAUGAUAGGUUUUUGGCUGAGCUCAGUGCAACCAUCGGUAUUGAUUACCAGGUGAAGAGUCUGAUGGUGGAUGACACCCAGGUUGCCUUACAGCUGUGGGAUACAGCUGGACAAGAAAGGUUUCGGAGCAUUACCAAGCAGUAUUUCCGGAAGGCAGAUGGCAUUCUGGUGAUGUACGACAUUACAGCCGAGUGCUCCUUCAUGGCGGUGCGGAACUGGAUGAGCAGUGUCCAGGAAGGUAUCGAGGAUGGAGCUGUGGUCUUUCUGCUUGGAAACAAAAUGGAUGCUGCACAGAGAGAGACCCAAAAUGUGCCCAAGGUGGAGGGGGAAAGGCUGGCGAAGGAAUACAAGGCUGUCUUCUAUGAGUGCAGUGCGAUGACUGGCUAUAACAUCAUGGAGCCCAUGCUGCACAUGGCCAGGUUGCUGACCGCACAAGAAGACAGGCAGAGGGAGAAUGCCCUGCAGCUGGAAGAUGUCAGCAGGAGGAAAGGGUGCUGCACAUAAGGCACAUCAAUGUGUCAGCAAGAGACGUGUGCCAACACCAUUUCAUGAAGCUGGGGUUCCUUUGAAGCAAGCUGAAUCUGAUGGUGAAGGGCCUGAGAAAGAACCUGUUCCCCUUGGGAAGGGGCCUUCUUGUCACCAAGGAGUGGGGCAAAGCAGGGCAAUGGGCUGUGCAGGCUGAGGUAGGAACUGGCCCCAAAAGCGCGCUGUGCCUGGGCACGAAGCCCCUGCUGUUCUCUGGGGUGUGAUGCUUUCUGUUUUGUAGCUCAGUUGCUCUUAAAGCCUUGUGGGACUAAGUAGGCUUUUUUUAUAAUGCCCUGUUCCUUUUCUUCUUUGAGUCUGUUUCUGUAUGUGAUGCUGACAUUUUAGGUGCAAGAUGUGAUACUGCAGCUGUGAAGCAGUCCCCCCAGCCUUGCAGCAUAGGGAAGGCCUAUAUUUACCCACUGUCUUUCCUCUCUUGGGAUAAGGUGAUUACUCUGAAUGUCUGUUUAAUUGCACAAAUUUCUCUGGAAAUAUCCCAUGCAGGAAGAGUGCUCUGAGUCACCUACAGCCCAUCAGUGUUACGAAGAAUUUCCACAGUUCCUCCCAGUGCCCUUUAUUCUUGAUAGGAAAGAAGAAGAUUUUCUCUGGAAGAGCAGGAUUCCUGUCUAAAAGGAAUAGCUAAAAGUGGCAAGCUCCUGCUCAGUCCUUACUGCUGACUGACUGUGAUUCACGCUGUGUUUAACUGCAGUAAUGCCUUCCAGAGACUGGGAAUCAGAAAGUUAGAAGAGGUCCUGAAAGAACCAGGGCGGCUGGUGCGGAAUGUAGAGUAACACCAGCAGCGUUGCCAGCAAAACUGCUUGUGCUAGCAAGAAAUUAUGUUUGGGGAGGGAAAUCCUCUCUGUUUUCAGAAAGCACCUGUAUUCUGAACACAGAUGUGGUUUUCUAGCCAAUGUGGCUGCGAAGGAGCACAGACAUCAUCACCUGUUGAAUAGGUCAAACCCACUACCUGAGCUGCGGGAGCUGCUGUCAAUGAUUCCUCUGCAUCAUGCUCCAGCUGCAGGUUAAUAAGGAGUGGCACUGACUAAGAACCAGCAUCUUUGGUCAGGGCAGAUCAGUAAUGCUAACAUUUACUUACCUGCAGCAGCAGGAUUUGGAAAGUUGCUGCAGAAGGAAGAGAGAGCAGUGUUCAAUCUGCUAUUGUGAUCUGAAAGCGCACCUCCAACACUCUGUACAGAGCACAUGAAUGACAGGUGUGAAACACAGCUGACACACCAGUACAGGCCAGCCUAUGUAUUACCUUCAUCAGUGCUGUCAUAUUGCAAUGGCAAGAACUACCAUGUGUUUUUUUAAUGCACAACCUUAAGCAUGUUUUCUCAGUGUACAAGCAGAGUACAGGCAAUAAAGAAAUGCUGUCUUACAAA